GGCAGUGGUGGCUCAAUGGUUAAAGCUCUGGGUUAUUGAUGAGAAGGUUGAGGGUUCAAGCUCCUACACUGCCC